AUGCAGUGAUGAUCUCUUAACUGGUAACUGAUGGUUGAGUGAAGAUGUGAAUUUCCUUGGCUGUGUCUGAGCAU